rnacentral:rRNA from 1 species
GACGUAGGGGGCGAGCGUUGUCCGGAUUUAUUGGGCGUAAAGCGCGCGCAGGCGGUUCGGAAAGUCGGGUGUGAAAACCCGGGGCUCAACCCCGGACCUGCAUCCGAUACUCCCGGACUGGAGGCAGGUAGGGGAGAGCGGAAUUCCCGGUGUAGCGGUGAAAUGCGCAGAUAUCGGGAAGAACACCGGUGGCGAAGGCGGCUCUCUGGGCCUGUCCCGACGCUCAGGCGCGAAAGCUAGGGGAGCGAACAGG